AAUAAAUAUUCUACUCUACCACUUUUCAGAGUAUAAAAAAUUAUUGAUAUAACUUAACCAAGUUUUUAACAGUAAAAUUGUGGAUGAGUCUUCCCUGAGUUCCUUGUUAAAAGUUUUCUGGCAAAAACACGAUGUUAGAUAUCAGUGGACUCUUCUGUUUUAAGCAUCUUUGAUUGCUAAACUCAGGUCAGAACAUAAAUCCGAUGGCUAAAGCUGAAGAAAGUUCAAAUGCUGACACCGCCAGAAGGCACCGACAGUACUCGGACACUUUGGAGUUGUUUUAAUUUGAUUUAAAAUUUCAAGAACCCGUUUACAUAUGUGUUUACAACUACAAUAUUCUUAAUAAGGGGUAAAAUAAAGGGAAAUUUCGCAGGAGAAACGAUUUUGGGACAACUCGAUGAACCGCUUGAAUUGGGGAAAUUGUAAAUGUAAAGUCAGCGUAUGAGAGUAAAAG